rnacentral:rRNA from 1 species
UCUUAGUGGCGGACGGUGAGUAACGCGUGGGUAACCUGCCUUAUACAGGGGGAUAACACUUAGAAAUAGGUGCUAAUACCGCAUAAGCGCACGGGGCUGCAUGGCCCAGUGUGAAAAACUCCGGUGGUAUAAGAUGGACCCGCGUCUGAUUAGCUUGUUGGCGGGGUAACGGCCCACCAAGGCGACGAUCAGUAGCCGGCCUGAGAGGGUGGACGGCCACAUUGGGACUGAGACACGGCCCAAACUCCUACGGGAGGCAGCAG